CUUAUAUGUCCUGGGCUGCACGCGUGCUACACUGAUGCAUACAACAAGUGCCUAACCAGACAUGGUAUGGCAAUCUCGAAUAUGCAUCGUGAUGGGGAUAGAUCUUUGCAAUUAUAGAUCUUGAACGAGGAAUUCCUAGUAAGUGCAAGUCAUCAUCUUGCAUUGCUUAUGUCCCUGCCCUUUGUACACACCGCCCGUCGCUCCUACCGAUACCGGGUGAUCCGGUGAACCUUUUGGACUCUUUACUGGGAAAGAUAAGUAAACCAUAUCACCUAGAGGAAAGAGAAGUCGUUUCAAGGUUUCCGUAGGUGAACCUGCAGAAGGAUCAAAG
rnacentral:rRNA from 1 species